UACUUCGGAUAGUGGCUGCCCGUUGC
rnacentral:piRNA from 1 species